rnacentral:rRNA from 1 species
UACAGGGGGGGCAAGCGUUGUUCGGAAUUACUGGGCGUAAAGGGUUCGUAGGUGGCCAACUAAGUCAGACGUGAAAUCCCUCAGCUUAACUGGGGAACUGCGUCUGAUACUGGAUGGCUUGAGUGCGGUAGAGGAUGGCGGAAUUCCCGGUGUAGCAGUGAAAUGCGUAGAGAUCGGGAGGAACAUCUGUGGCGAAGGCGGCCAUCUGGACCAGCACUGACACUGAGGCACGAAAGCGUGGGGAGCAAACAGG